GAAAUGCGAUAAGUAAUGUGAAUUGCAGAAUUCAGUGAAUCAUCGAAUCUUUGAACGCACCUUGCGCUCCUUGGUAUUCCUUGGAGCAUGCCUGUUUGAGUAUCAUGAAAUCUUCAAAGUAAAUCUUUUGUUAACUCAAUUGGUUUCUACUUUGGUAUUGGAGGUCUUUGCAGCUUCACACCUGCUCCUCUUUGUUCAUUAGUUGGAUCUCAGUGUUAUGCUUGGUUCCACUCGGCGUGAUAAGUUAUCUAUCGCUGAGGACACUGUAAAAGGUGGCCAAGGUAAAUGCAGAUGAACCGCUUCUAAUAGUCCAUUGACUUGGACAAUACUUUUAUGAUCUGAUCUCAAAUCAGGUAGGACUACCCGCUGAACUUAAGC
rnacentral:misc_RNA from 1 species